UACGUAGGGUGCGAGCGUUGUCCGGAAUUAUUGGGCGUAAAGGGCUCGUAGGCGGUUUGUCGCGUCGGGAGUGAAAACCAGGUGCUUAACACCUGGCUUGCUUUCGAUACGGGCAGACUAGAGGCAUGCAGGGGAGAACGGAAUUCCUGGUGUAGCGGUGAAAUGCGCAGAUAUCUGGAGGAACACCGGUGGCGAAGGCGGCAUCCUGGACCAAUUCUGACGCUGAGAAGCGAAAGCCAGGGGAGCAAACGGG
rnacentral:rRNA from 1 species